UACGAACUGUGCGAACGUUAUUCGGAAUCACUGGGCUUAAAGGGUGCGUAGGCGGCAAUCUAAGUCAGGUGUGAAAGCCCUCGGCUCAACCGAGGAAUUGCGCUUGAGACUGGUUUGCUUGAGUGAGACAGGGGUGUGCGGAACUUCCAGUGGAGCGGUGAAAUGUGUUGAUAUUGGAAGGAACGCCCAUAGCGAAAGCGGCACACUGGGUCUUAACUGACGCUGAGGCACGAAAGCCAGGGUAGCGAACGGG
rnacentral:misc_RNA from 1 species